rnacentral:lncRNA from 1 species
GUCAGUAAAACAAGAAUUGAGAUCAAGAUAGCGCAAGCUUGUAAGGUUUCCCAAAAAUGAAGGAAGAGAUCCACCAAAGGAUGCACCCGAGAGAUUGAGGUAUCUCAAAGUCUUGAGUGAUCCAAAAAAGUUUGGAAUUGAGACUCCUCCAAAGUAGUUCAUACUAAGGUCUAAGUACUUCAAGUAUUUCAAAUCAAUCAAAGAAGGAUGUAUCUCACCGCCUAACGCAUAAGCUGUUGCAUCUGAUACAUCAGGAUUACUGGAAUACAGGUUGGGAAGUUUGAGCUUGGUGACAUGUCCAAGCUUGUCACUGCACCGUACACCAGCCCAGCUACAGCAAUCUUCACCUUUCCAAGAAGAGAGCCGCCCUGAGGGAUCGGUGAGACCUUCUUUGAAGUUGAGAAGAGCUUUUCUUUCCAUUGGAAUGCAGCUAACAUUUUGACUCACACAUGAACCAAUUUAACAGUUUCGAGGUAAAGGAACUCAGAAGAGAGGAUCAAAAUAAGAGAAAAACACCAGAUAGAAGAUCUGGUAUUCGCCAUGUCUUUUGCAGGUAAAGAAAAUGAAUAGAUGCGCUGUUGAGCUCAUGCUGUUUAUAUAGGGGAAAAAAUAAACGAAUAUUUGAGUUGGCUCAAGUCAAUGUCUUUGUGCUGAACCAUUUGAGAAGCCCAUAGCUUUCUCAGUCCAGCUGUCUCAUACAAGUAGGUAAGAUUUGUUCUGUCCAAUCAUUCUUAACGUAACAGGAACUUCCAUUUAUUCUCUUUCCUUUUUAGGGCAAAUAACCAUAUAAAAUAUUGUCAAACUUUCCAUCCCACUUGUUCUUUUCUUUUUUGCUUUUUGGGUGUUUUGCCUUCUAAGUCUGGAAAGAAAUCCAACUUGUUUUCAAACCAGAGAAAAUGAAUAUUGCAGUCCAGUCAAAUUUGACGGCAGUGGGUUCAAUGCUGAAGUCGCCAUUACUGAAGCCGAAUGAAGGCUUCCUUUAAUUUUAUAUUACAUGCGUAUCUCAACCAAAGAUUUAAAUAGAGGUUGAAUAGUGGUAUAACGGUCAUUAUUUCACAAUUAUGUUAUUAUUUAUCACUGUUAUUAAAAGAAAAAGAAAAAAAUUUAAAUAUCAUUUAUAGCAAGCAAAUCACGAUUGCAAAUUGUGGCAUACCGUUUAAUAGCGAUAAUAGCUGCUAUUAUUUGCUACUUAUUUUUCAUUCAAAAAUUUAAAAAAUAUAUUUUAUUUGACUCUAAUUAAAAAUUUAAAAUAAAAAAGCAAGAAAAAUGAUAAACAUCAAUUUACAAAUUCAAGAAAAAUUUUUUUUAUAAAACUUAGACUUUCAAAAAUAUCAAUUCUCUCAAAUUCAACUUCAAUUAAGAUUAAGCAUAUACAAUUUAAGGUAAGCAAUUAAUUCGACACUCAAAUUAUUUUUUUUUUAAUUUUAAAAUUUAUCGUAAUUUUAUGUGUUUGGGAUUGGAUUGAGAGCAAGAGUUGUUGAAACUUAAAAUAAAAAACAAGAGAUGAGAGCAAGAUUUGAGGUUAAAGAAGACAAGCAGAUAGCAUACACCAAAAAAAAAAAAAAGAGCUGAGAGAUAGGGAUGAGGAUAAAGGUUUAGAGAAAAAUUUAUUGAAUGUAAGAUGAGGGGAUGAGAAGUUAUGGGAUCUGUAUAAUUUAGUCAAGAGAUAAAGGAAAUAGACUUUAGGCUAUUGUUGUUGAGGAUUAACCUCAACAUGAAGGCUAACAAGUUUGAUUACUGUAGACCCAUAAAAAGCAAUUCUUUUUUUUCAUAAAUAGCAAUGUUCUUGUUUAAUUUAUGGAUAUUUAAUCACUUAUUAGUUAAUUUAUGUAUAAUAUAAUUCAGUAAUAAUUUGAUGAGUACGAUAAUUAAAUAAUUAAAUAUAUUAUUCGUUAUGAUUAUUUAUUUUUCACAUAUUUAUUUAUCUUUUGUUAUUUACUAAUUAUCGUAUGAGUAAUAUUUUAAACAUGAAUAUUUUAUUAUAAAUAAUUUUUUAAAAUAAAUAAAACAUAUGAUAUGAUAUAAAUUAUUUUAAAAAUCAUAAAUUAAGAGUUUUUAUGAUUAAUAAUUAAAAUUAUUAAUAAUUUAAAAAAAUUUACAAUCGUAAUCGCUGUAAUGAUCAUGAAAACUUUUAUUAUAUUCGUAACUAUGAUAAAUAUGAUGCAAUAAAAAAUAUGACUGCUAUCGCAAUUUAAAUAUAUGAUCUCAUCUUGUUCAUCGUCCUUCCACAGGAAACAGAACCUGUGGACCUGUGGUUUCCAAAAUUUCCUAUGGAAAAGUUUCCAACUUCCAUCUUCCAAGUAAGGAAAGUGUGAAUUCUUGGCAUUUAGGGUGGGGGGAACAGGGUUGUACCCUUCAGUAUUUAAUUUCUUGCAAAUCCAACAAAGGCAGCUGAUUGAAAGGCUGAAAUCGACACUCACCCCAACACCAGUUGUUCCAAUAAGAUUGAUCGUCUUUCUUAAACUUUCUUAAAUACUACAUUACUAGAAAUACAAAGAUGAUCAAACAAAUUCAUUUCUGUAAGAAAUUUGUAGACUAUUAAUACAAAGUUAAUACCCCAAAAUAGUAAUAUUUAACCUGUUCCUGUUUUUGGAAAUUAAUUAACCCAUUUAUAAUUUUUUUAUUUUUUUAUUACAACUAGAUUCAACUUGAAACUUUCAAUUUUGAAACUAAUUUUAUUAUUAUUGCACUAACUGUUCAUUGAUAAUUCAUUUGUAAAUUUAAUAAAAGGUAAUUUAAUUAUUAAUUUAAAGAUAUAAUUAAUAGACAAUGCCUUUUUUAAUUUUAAUUACUAGAAAAUAAAUAAAGCAUAUAAACUAUACAAAGCUUCCCUUGAAAAAAAUUAUUAAAAAAUAAUUAAAAAUAUCUUAAGUGUUACACAUUUCUAAGCAGGGAUGGAUCUAGGAUUUCUAAUAAGUGGGGGCAACUAUUUUAACUUAAUUUUUUAAAAUUUUUAUUGAAAAACAUAUUAAUAUGAAGAAUUCCUAACAAAUUAACAUGUAUAACAAUUUUUUCUAUAAAACACAAUUUUGUAUGUCAUAAAUAUAAUAUUUGCAUAACUAAGAUUAACUGUUAUUGACGAAUAUAGCUUAAACAUUAUAAUAUUAUAAUAAAUCAUUUUUUGACGUAUGCAUGUGUAGACACAUACAUAUAUAAAUAUGUAUAUAUAUUUUAUUAAUACAAUUUUACUUAAACAAUUUUUAAAUAUAAAUAUAAUAUGUGAAAAAAAUAAAUAUCAAUAUUUUCAAUUUUAUCAUCUAUUUUCAUUUCUUACACAUUAUAAUUUGAAGAAUAACAAAUGUUUAUUUUCUUAUAUACAAUGAAAACAAUAUUUUUUUACGUUCAAUGGAAAACAAAAAUGAAGAUAUAAAUCCAUGUUAGUUAAAAAUUAUUUUUUAAUUUUUAUUCUUAUUAAUUCACUCUGAAUGAAUUUUAAAAGUUAUUUAUUUAUUCUUCUUCAAAAUUAAUGUACAUAUAUGUUAUAAUGAAAUUGUUUAUCACUCAAAAUAUAAAUAUUCAAUUACUAGAUAAACAAUAAAAAAAUUUUUACUUGAUCCUCAAUUUAAUGAGGGUAAAUAUGAUAAAAAAAAUUUUGAUAGGGCAAAACUUAAAAUUUCUAAACUUUAUGAGACUUUUCUAUGACAAAUUCAAAGAACUUUAGUGUGUCAGUGGGGCGGCUGCCCCGACAACCCCAUGUGUAAUCCGGUCCUUUUGCUAAGUCAAGUCUAGGUUUUGUUUCAAAAAGUCAAAAACAUUUUAAAAAAAUUAUAAAACUAUUUCUAAAAUUAUUUCAAUCAUUCAAACAAGAAAUGCUGUCUGCCAAAAACAAAAAAACAAAACCUUGGGCUCAUAGGGGGGUUUGAGCUUCAUAUUCUAAGGCUUGAUUGGGCCCAAGAGAAAAAGGACAGUUGGGCUAUGAACCCGGUUCUAGGAUGGAUAGCCCGACCCGGUGAAACCAUUGAGAUAUUUGUCGGUGCAGGGUAAAUGACGUGGUGUUCUCCAUUCUUGCCAAGGACCACCGGAAAAGAUCUCAACACCGGCCACGGCGGACAGCACAGAUGUCACCGUACACCCUCCCAAAUCCCCACCUUAUCCAAUCAUCACCUGCCGCGUGUCCCCCGCACAGUUCCUACCGCCCCUUCUCCUUCUCACUCCAUCCUCCCUCCAACAACGACCGCUGCCGCCCUCCAUGUGCUAACUUGCGCCUUACAGUGCCCUCACUUCCUAUCAUACGCAUCCUUGUGACACCCCCAAUCUAUUAUGAUAUAUAAAAGUUCUCACUUCCUAAAAAUCUACUAUGAUAUUUAUUCAUAUUUAUUCAUUAUAUUUAUUUUUAUUCAUAUUUAUUUUCUAUAUUAAUUAUAUUUAUUUUAUCUUUAAAUUGAUAUAAAUUGAUUUGCUUUUAUAAAAAUUUUAAAAUAUUUCAAUGCAUUAAUUAUAUUUAUUUUCUUUUUAAUUUUCAAUAAACCCACUUUUUAUUUCCAAAUAAAAUAUCUUAAAUUAUAAAUUAAAACUAAAUCAAUAAUACAUUAUAAUUAAAGAAUUUAUUAAUGAUUCAAAAAAUAAUAAAUAUUAUAAUUAUGGUUAUUAAAUUUUUUUAAUGAUUCAAAAAAUUUUUAUUGAAAUUUAAUCAAAAUUAUAAAAAAUUUAAUAAUCACUAUAAUAAUGGUUAAUAGUUGAUUUCUUAAUAAAUUAUUUAAUAUAUUCAUAUUUGAUUAAAUAUGAUAUCCAACUAAAUAAUGUAUGUUAUUCAUAUAUAAAUAUAUAUAAAUUAUAUAAUAAUUUUAUAUAUUUAUAUAAGAUUAAUGAUUCAUUAUAAUGUUGGAUUUUAUGCAUACGGGUUGUAAUCAAUAAGCAAUGCAUCCCAUUUCAUACAAAUAUAUAAAAAUAAAAAAAUUUUGUAAAAAAAAUAAAAAAUUCAAUGUGGAUAAUCUAUUUUUUUUUUACAUAUAAAUUGUUUUGAACAAUUUUUACAUAUUCUGCAUUUAAUUAUUUUGAUUUGACUUCAUAUAUAUAUUUUAUUAAUUUAAAAGAUAUUUAUUUGGCUAAAUUAGGUUAUUUAUUUUCUCAUAAAUAUCCAAUGUUUUUGCCUUUUAUAAAUGUAUUAUAAUUAAAUUAUUUUAUAUUAUUUUCAACCAAAUUCAAUUCUUAAUUUUAAAUAUCAAACGUGUAUACUAUCAAUAAGAAAUAUGUUUUGAAAGCAUUUACUUUUUAAUAACCAUGAUUUUAAUAUUUAAUUAAAAAUAAUUUAUAUAUUUAUUAACCUAAAUUAAUAUAUAAGCCAUAUAAUGCUAAAAAUUCAAACCUAAAAUAAAAUCAAAUUAGUUUGAAACAUAUUUUCAUAUUUCUUUCUAUAUAAGUAUUAAUUACAAUUGAUAUAAUUUAUUAUUUUACAAAAAUUUUUCAAAAUAUUAAGUGCAGACUUUUCAAAGUAAAAAGAUAUAUUACAUAAAUAAUUAAUAUUCUAUUAUAAUUUUUUUUUCAUAAAUUACUCUUAAUUUAUAAAAAUCUCUCAAAUUCUUAUUAUAAAUAGAGAAGCCUAUAUCUAAGAGUAUUAGGAGGUUACUCAAUUUAUUAAUUUUUAGUAAAUAACAUAUGGUUUCAAUCCCACAAAAAAACGCAAAUUCAAUUUAAAUUACUUUGAACUUUCGAGAAUACAAUGUAAGAAUGGACACCACUUAACCAAAGGUUUGUUGUUGUUAUUAUGAGUAAGUGGUAUAAAAUUCAAAGAUUUGGAAUCAAUCAGUAUUUAAUUUUGUAUAAAUAUCACUAUUAGAUGAGAUAUAAUACAAAUAAUUUUUUUAUAUUACAUAGGGAUAUGUUGAUUUACAAUAAUUUUAUUUUUUAUUAUUUUACAUUGCAAAUUUUUAUUUUUAUAUAAAAUUUAUUGAUUUAUUUUAUUUUGUAUAAAUAUCACUAUUAGAUGAGAUAUAAUAUAAAUAAUUUUUUCAUAUUACAUAGGUAGAUAUUGAUUUACAAUAUUUUUAUUUUUUAUUAUUUUACAUUGAAAUUUUUUAUUUUUUUAUAAUAUAUAUAUGUAUGUAUGUAUGUAUGUAUGUAUGUAUGUAUGUAUGAAUAUAUCGCACGGAUUUCGUUUACAUUAAAGUAUCUUGCAACUUAGCCUGACUGCCUGUGUUUCCCUCUACUUCAUUGGUCUUCUUAGGCGAGCUAAGUUUAACAAGACAAACACCAUUAGCCUUUCUUUCAUAUCAUCAAGGAACUCGAAGUAGACACGCCUCCAAGAUUUCUUCACCAUUAAAGGGAAGCACACUCCCCAAAAUCCCACAACAAAUCCUGGUCCCAUGCUGAUAUAGAACCACAUCAUUUCGUGGUCAUCUCCGUUUUCAUUGUCCUUGUUCCUAACAUCAGGAGAAGUUGAUGAUUCAUCGUCACCAUCGCACCUGGUUGGUAGUGGUGGCCCACAAAGUCCACUGUUACCUUCAUAAAUGGAUGGAUCGUUGAGGGUUUGGAACUGGUUGGCUGACGGAAUUUUACUAGACAGGUUGUUGUACGAAAGGUUCAAGUGAUUUAAGGAAGUUAGGGAGACCAUGCUUGGUGGGAUCAUGCCAGAAAACUGAUUUCUUGAGAGGUCGAGAGUCUCAAGCCAUUUCAAGCGACCAAUUCCUGAUGGUAUCUUUCCUGUCAAAUGGUUCAUUGACAAGUUCAAGGUGCCCAAUCUUGAAAGAUUUGUCAGCUCUUCAUGGAAAUCUCCAGAUAAAUUAUUGCUUGAAAGGUCUAUGCUGUUCACAAGAAACAGACAGGUCUCAUAAAAAAGAUCUCUUCCCUUUGCCACAAUCCAUAAUCGCUCCUCAUAUCUCGUAUCAUUAAUAAUGCUGGAAAAUCCACUCAUAUUGCCAAUACAGCGAGGAAUCGAUCCUGACAAAUUGUUGUCUCCCAAGUUCAGUAUAUGGAGAAGGGAAAGAUUGCAUAGCUGUAUUGGAAUAUCCCCAGUGAACAGGUUUGAUCGUAAAUUUAGAAUCCGCAAAGAUGGCAUAGUUUCUCCGAUCCAUGUUGGAAUCUCUCCAGAAAGCCUGUUGUUUCCAAGAUCAAGAUUUUCCAUGACUGUGCAAUUCCGCAGGGUAGGUGAGAGUUCCCCAGAAAGAUUGUUUGUGCUCAGCCUCAAGUAUCUGAGUUCAGUCAAAGAACCCAAAGAAGGAGGUAUAUUCCCAGAUAAACUAUUGUUGGACAUAUCAAUAAGAUACAAGGCUGUUAUGUUAUUCCAGAUAUCCGGAAUUUUUCCAGUCAACUGAUUGUCUGAGAUAAGAAAAGUCAGCAGAAAAUUCAGGUUUCCAAUGGAUGAGGGAAUAGAACCAUUGAAGGAGUUGGAAGAGAGAUCAACAUCAGCCAACAUGGGCAUUCUUUCACCAAAAUCAUGAGGAAUUGGCCCAGAAAACAUAUUAUUGUCAAGAUGUAAUGAACUCAAAUUCGAUGAUAAAACUAGAAGAGGGCCAAUGAAGUUAUUAUGGUUCAAAAAAACAAAACCUUGAGGCCUAAACUUUAUGGAGCUUGGCACUCUACCAGUUAACUGAUUGUAACUAAAGUCCAGCACGUCCAAAACCAAAUCUAGCUUCCAAAACCACUCCGGGAUGCUGCCUGAGAUCCCAGCUUUCAACAGACCUACAUACUCCAGCUCGUUUUGAUUUCUUAGCCACGCAGGAAAUUCAGGGCCUACAAGGCAUGCUUUGAGGUUUAUAUAUCUUAAUUUGAAAGGAGGAACCCAAUUGGAAGACGCAUUGAACAUCAAGGUGAUGUUCCAAGAAUUUUGAACAAUUGAUAGCUCCUUUAGGCUUGUGAGAUUAGAAAAGUGAGCUUCUGUCAAAACACCCUCCCAUUGAUUGUCUUUGAUAUCUAAUGAGACUAAUGAUGAGAGUUGUCCUAUGGUUGUUGGGAUUGUUCCUUUCAUUCCAUUGUCGGAGAGAUCGAAAAACUCUAGUGAAGACAAAUUCCCUAUGGAUUCUGGAAUGGAACCGACAAAGUAGUUGUGCACGAGAAGAAGAUUUUUUAAGUUCCUCAAGUGUCCCAAAGAAUCAGGAAGAAAGCCACCAAGUUCAUUGUAAUCCAACUGCAAUGACUCUAAGCUACAAUUGUUGCAUUGAGACAAGCCACUGGUAAAUUCUCCAAUAUCACCACCAAUCUUAUUGAAUGAGAGAUCAAGCACUUGCAAAUUGCAGAGGUUUCCCAAAUUUCUUCUUGACAACCUGCCUUCCAUAAAUGAAUUUUCAGACAAGUCAAGGUUUUGAAGAAAGUUCAUUCCAGCAAAUCCAUCAGGAAUUUCGCCUUUGAGAUUGUUAGAGUUGAGAUCAAGAUACUGAAGACCACUUAUGUUAAAAAGCCAAGUAGGUAUUGAGGAGUUGAAACCAUUGUUUGAGAGAUCAAGCACGGAAAGGGAUGAAAGGUUAACGAGGGGAAGUGAGAGAGGAAGAAUGGAAAGUCCACAAACUGGUAAGUGCAGCUCUUCUAAUGAAGGAAGCAUGUUGACAGCUUCAAGCCAGUAUGUGCUGGUCAUGCUAAGAUCAACACUUCCCAAAUUUAGGUGUUUCAAAGUAGAAAGGGUUGUUAACCAAUGCAAAUCAUUCUUGUUUGAGUCAGUAAAACAAGAAUUGAGAUCAAGAUAGCGCAGGCUUGUAAGGUUUCCCAAAAAAGAAGGAAGAGAUCCACCGAAGGAUGCACCCGAGAGAUUGAGGUAUCUCAAAGUCUUGAGUGAUCCAAAGAAGUUUGGAAUUGAGACUCCUCCAAAGUUGUUCAUACUAAGGUCUAAGUACCUCAAGUAUUUCAAAUCAAUCAAAGAAGGAUGUAUCUCACCGCCUAACGCAUAAGCUGUUGCAUCUGAUACAU